GAUGAACGCUAGCGGCAGGCUUAAUACAUGCAAGUCGUGGGGCAGCAUGAGUGUAGCAAUACAUUUGAUGGCGACCGGCAAACGGGUGCGGAACACGUACACAACCUUCCUUUAAGUGGGGGAUAGCCCAGGGAAACUUGGAUUAAUACCCCGUAAUACUAUGAAGUGGCAUCACUUUAUAUUUAUAGCUCCGGCGCUUAAUGAUGGGUGUGCGGCUGAUUAGGUAGUUGGCGGGGUAACGGCCCACCAAGCCUGCGAUCAGUAACUGGUGUGAGAGCACGACCAGUCACACGGGCACUGAGACACGGGCCCGACUCCUACGGGAGCAGCAGUAAGGAUAUUGGUCAAUGGACGCAAGUCUGAACCAGCCAUGCCGCGUGGAGGAUGAAGGUCCUCU
rnacentral:rRNA from 1 species